CAACUACUCCCUCUGUCCCAAAUUUCUUGUCUUAGAUUUGUCUAGAUACGGAUGUAUCUAAUACUAAAAUGUGACUCGAUACAUCCGUAUCUAGACAAAUCUAAGACAAGAAUUUUGGGAUGGAGGGAGUACUUU
rfam:Triticum aestivum genome assembly, contig: Triticum_aestivum_CS42_TGACv1_scaffold_095726_2AL